GUCGUAACAAGGUUUCCGUAGGUGAGUGGAAUCGAAGACUCCCCUUCUGCUUGGAUGUGACGUGUGCUAACCCGGUCUGUUUUAGGUGAACCUGCGGAAGGAUCAUU
rnacentral:rRNA from 1 species